CCCUCGGGCUCGAAACGGUACAAAGCGAGACGUUUCUUUUCGUGAUGCCGCGGCGAUGAAAGAGGACGGCGGCGAUCCAUCCCUGGCGAUGCCGUCAUCAGAUUCCCCGACACAACCGAAGCGAAUCCUCGACUCCCCCUCGGAGUCGCCGAAGCCGCAGAAGCUGCCGAGAUCCGUGGAAGAGGGUUGUGGAGAAGGACGCGAGGGGAUGAGCCAAAACCCUAGGCUCCAGAGGUAUUUGGUGGCGGUGGAGUACAUCGGAACGCGGUUCUCGGGGUCCCAGAGGCAGCCCAACUGCAGAACCGUCGUUGGCGUUCUUGAGGAUGCAUUUCAUAAAUUUAUCGGACAGCCAGUUUCAAUAUCCUUCUCCAGUCGAACGGAUGCAGGAGUUCAUGCUCUAUCAAAUGUUUGCCAUGUUGAUGUUGAGCGCAUAAGUAAACGAAAGCCUGGGGAAGUGUUAACACCACAUGAACCAGGUGUUGUAAGACGUGCUGUUAAUCACUUUUUACAGAAAUGUGAAGGUGACAUAACAGUAAUUGAUGUUCGAUGUGUUCCAGCUGAUUUUCAUGCACGAUUCAAGGCCCUGGAGCGGACAUACCACUACCGCAUCCUCUCAGGGCCAGAGCCUUUGUCAACCUUCGAGAAAGACCGUGCUUGGCAUGUACCUGAGGAACUGGAUAUUCUUGCUAUGAAGAAAGCAUGUAGCAUUCUGAUCGGGUCUCAUGAUUUCAGCUCAUUUAGGGCUACCGGUUGCCAGGCAAAGUCUCCUAUCAAAACUUUGGACGAACUUAGUGUCACAGAAGUUCUUCCAUCACUGUACUUCCCUUCAAUCAUGGAGAGGUCAGAGAUGGAAUCAUUAAAUGGUUCUCUUUCUUGUUCCAAGACAUCCGACCAUGAAUUACCUGCAAAUUAUUUGGACACCUCUCGCAUGAGCAUUCAGAAGAACAGUACUGAUUGCUGUCAAGGGUUUGGACAUAGAUCAACGCAUCGUUGCUAUGUUAUAACAGCAAGAGCUCGCUCUUUUCUUUACCACCAGGUCAGGCUUAUGGUUGGUGGUCUAAAAUCUGUCGGGACUGGAGAGAUAACAGUCAGUGAUGUCGAAAGAAUUCUGAAUGCAAAAUCGGUGACUGCUGCAAGCCCCAUGGCUCCUGCCUGUGGUCUGUAUCUUGGCACUGUGAAGUAUGAUAUUCCAUAGAGUUUUGGAGAACACCACCUCAGUCAAACUAUCAUAAAGAGCCUCAUGAUGGGUCAUAGGUGACAAACAUCAUAAUGUCUUGUGACAUCCGAUGGUGGUGAUAUGCCCAAUGAGUGUCAAACAGAAAGCCAAUGAUGUCAGAAAUCCAUGCAAAAACAGAGAGGAAGGGAAAGGAAAUGAUUGGAAGUCAAUGGAUAGCUGUUAAAACGCCCGCCAUUUUCGCAGGUCAAGCGAACAAAGAGAAAAGAAGGCACUGCAGUGCAUGGGAUAAAAGCACAUGUUCAUCAUCUUUUGGGACAGUGCCGUAUGAUUGACGUGAUGGCUUCAUGGAUUGACAUGGUUUCUUGCUACUGCUUUCUCUUUGCUUAGGUGUGGCACUCGGAUAUGUCACCAAGGUUCAUGAUGACCACUGGGGCCUUUUCUUCCCCUUGGCGUGCAUCACUUCAAGCCAUUUUGUCAAACACUUUAGACGUGAAUGAGUGAAUCGUCAAUUAUGAUGGCAUCUUAUAGUAAGAACUGAUAUUUGGCUUGAACUAUUCAUUUACCAACCAAACAUUGCAAUUUAUCCUCAGUGGGGAAGUUUGGUUUGAUUCUUCACUGUUCUUUAACAUGACUGGUCUCUUUCUA